AGCUCCAGUAGCGUAUAUUAAAGUUGUUGCCGCUAAAAAGCUCGUAGUUGGAUUUCUGGCAAACCUUGCUGGCCCGGUUCCUCACGGAGCUGGGUGCCGGCAGGCGUUUCGCCAUCCUUUCCGGGAUGUUCCGGAGGCUGCUGCCUACCCGCAAGGGCAGGGCGGCGGCGCCGGGUUUUUAUGCAGACCGGAUCUGUUACUUUGAAAAAAUUAGAGUGUUUCAAGCAGGCAUUUUCGCCUUGAAUACAUUAGCAUGGAAUAACGACAAAGGACCGAGAGUUCAUUUUGUUGGUUUCUGAGUUCUAGGUAAUGAUUUAAUAGGGAUAGUUGGGGGUGCUACUAUUCAGCGGCCAGGGGUGAAAUCCUGUGAUUCGCUGACGAGUAACUACUGCGAAAGCAUUCACCAAGGAUGUCUUCUUUA
rnacentral:rRNA from 1 species